rnacentral:rRNA from 1 species
GACGAACGCUGGCGGCGUGCUUAACACAUGCAAGUCGAACGGUAAGGCCCUUCGGGGUACACGAGUGGCGAACGGGUGAGUAACACGUGGGUGACCUGCCCUGCACUUCGGGAUAAGCCUGGGAAACUGGGUCUAAUACCGGAUAGGACCACUGCCUGCAUGGGUGGUGGUGGAAAGCUUUUGCGGUGUGGGGUGGGCCCGCGGCCUAUCAGCUUGUUGGUGGGGUGAUGGCCUACCAAGGCGACGACGGGUAGCCGGCCUGAGAGGGUGACCGGCCACACUGGGACUGCGAUACGGCCCAGACUCCUACGGGAGGCAGCAGUGGGGAAUAUUGCACAAUGGGCGCAAGCCUGAUGCAGCGACGCCGCGUGAGGGAUGACGGCCUUCGGGUUGUAAACCUCUUUCAGCACCGACGAAGCGCAAGUGACGGUAGGUGCAGAAGAAGGACCGGCCAACUACGUGCCAGCAGCCGCUGUAA